AGCUCUCCGAGUGGUAGGGAUGUUUAUUGGGCUUAAAGCGUCCGUAGCCGGCUUAGCAAGUCUCCUGUUAAAUUCAGCGACCUAAUCGUUGACCCGCGGGAGAUACUACUAAGCUAGGAGGCGGGAGAGGUCGACGGUAAUUCUGGGGUAGGGGUGAAAUCCUAUAAUCCCGGGAGGACCACCAGUGGCGAAGGCUGUUGACUAGAACGCGCUCGACGGUGAGGGACGAAAGCUGGGGGAGCGAACCGGAUUAGAUACCCGCGUAGUCC
rnacentral:rRNA from 1 species